rnacentral:rRNA from 1 species
UACGGGGGGGGGCAAGCGUUGUUCGGAAUUACUGGGCGUAAAGGGCUCGUAGGCGGCCAACUAAGUCGGAUGUGAAAUCCCCAGGCUUAGCCUGGGAACUGCAUCCGAUACUGGAUGGCUUGAAUCCGGGAGAGGGAUGCAGAAUUCCAGGUGUAGCGGUGAAAUGCGUAGAUAUCUGGAGGAAUACCGGUGGCGAAGGCGGCAUCCUGGACCGGCAUUGACGCUGAUGAGCGAAAGCUGAGGGGAGCAAACGGG